rnacentral:rRNA from 1 species
GACGGAGGGUGCUAGCGUUGUUCGGAAUGACUGGGCGUAAAGGGCGCGUAGGCGGCUCGUGAAGUCGGGUGUGAAAGCCCGGGGCUCAACCCCGGAACGGCAUCCGAUACUGGCGGGCUUGAGACCGGGAGAGGAGGGUGGAAUACCCAGUGUAGAGGUGAAAUUCGUAGAUAUUGGGUAGAACACCGGUGGCGAAAGCGGCUCUCUGGCCCGGAUCUGACGCUGAGGCGCGAAAGCGUGGGGAGCAAACAGG